rnacentral:rRNA from 1 species
UACGGGGGGGGCGAAGCGUUGUUCGGAAUUAUCUGGGGUCGGUAAAGGGCGCGUAGGCGGCCUGCUAAGUCGGAAUGUGAAACGUCCCUCCGGCCUCAACCGAGGAACUGCAUCCGAUACUGGCGGGCUUGAAUCCGGGAGAGGGAGUAUGGAAUUCCAGGUGUAGCGGUGAAAUGCGUAGAUAUCUGGAGGAACACCGGUGGCGAAGGCGGCAUCCUGGACCGGUAUUCGACGCUGAGGCGCGAAAGCGAUGGGGAGCGUAACGAGG